rnacentral:rRNA from 1 species
AUUGAACGCUGGCGGAAUGCUUUACACAUGCAAGUCGAGCGGCAGCGCGGGGGCAACCCUGGCGGCGAGCGGCGAACGGGUGAGUAACAUAUCGGAACGUACCCUGUCUGGGGGAUAACUAUCCGAAAGGAUAGCUAAUACCGCAUACGACCUGAGGGUGAAAGCGGGGGACCGCAAGGCCUCGCGCGAUAGGAGCGGCCGAUAUCGGAUUAGCUAGUUGGUGAGGUAAAGGCUCACCAAGGCGACGGUCCGUAGCGGGUCUGAGAGGACGACCCGCCACACUGGAACUGAGACACGGUCCAGACUCCUACGGGAGGCAGCAGUGGGGAAUUUUGGACAAUGGGGGCAACCCUGAUCCAGCCAUUCCGCGUGAGUGAAGAAGGCCUUCGGGUUGUAAAGCUCUUUCAGCAGGAACGAAACGGUGAGGGUUAAUACCCUUUACUAAUGACGGUACCUGAAGAAGAAGCACCGGCUAACUACGUGCCAGCAGCCGCGGUAAAGUGUGACUG